UACGUAGGGUGCAAGCGUUAAUCGGAAUUACUGGGCGUAAAGCGUGCGCAGGCGGUUUCGUAAGUCUGUCGUGAAAUCCCCGGGCUUAACCUGGGAAUGGCGAUGGGGACUGCGAGGCUAGAGUUUGGCAGAGGGGGGUAGAAUUCCACGUGUAGCAGUGAAAUGCGUAGAGAUGUGGAGGAACACCGAUGGCGAAGGCAGCCCCCUGGGUCAAAACUGACGCUCAUGCACGAAAGCGUGGGGAGCAAACAGG
rnacentral:rRNA from 1 species